GCGCCGCUCCCCGCGCCGGCUGAGAGCGAGCCUGUGAUUGGACGGCGCGCGGCGGUGAAAGGUUAACCCCGGCCCCUCAGCCAAUCAGGAGCCCGGAGACGGCGGGCGCGGCGCGGGGGCUGAGGCGGGGGCUGCGGCCCAGCGGCGGCCGGGCCCGGGCCGUUCCAGCGCCGCGCGGCCUCGUGGGCUGCAGGCGCUCCCCGCCCGGCGGGGCAGGACCUCCGGGCGCUCGGAUUCGCCCGCCGCCCUUGCUGCCCUGCGUGGCAGCCAUCGCCCCUAAACGUGGCCUUUUCCCACUCCCCUCCCGCGUUUUAAAGACCUUCCCGCUCGGCCGCUUUCCACCCCGCUCCUGGCUCGGGGUCCUCCGCAUUUGGCGGGACCACAGAGACCACCUCCCACCCCCACCCACCCGCAGACGAGAGGGGACAGUGGCCCCACGUACGUAAAGUGUUCAUUGCACAGGUUGCUACCCGGCACCAUGCCUUGUGGCUGUGGGUUAAAAUGAGAAGGCCGAGUGACCGGCUUAAGGAAAAUCCUACUAAUGUACCCCAAAAUGCAGACAUCGCUUCCAGAGGCACCCGAUAGGUGCUUCGGUGCCCAAGCGUAGCACCUACUGUGUGCUGGGCGCUGCCGAGGUCAGCAAGGUUCAAUACGGAACUCUUAGGCUAAGCUACUCCCGUGGAGACGCGCUGGCUGCAGCUCGGAUGUGUGUGUCCGUUACCAAAAAAGGGUGUAAAACAUCUCACCAGUAAUGUUGAUAUUUAUUGCAUGUUGAAGUGGUAAUGCUUUCUGAUAUAUUGGAGUAAAUAUUCGUUUCAUUUGCGUCCUUCUAAAAUGUGAGUGCGAGAAGAAUGGCGAUGCUUCGUGUGGCUCCAGUUAUGUCGCUAUGGGACCGGCUGAUGCAAGCGGGUGAUCUUUCCAUGGGCCCUGCGAGGUCUGUGCAGUCAUUGCCCCCCACCCCUAUUAAGAGGAACAAAACAAAAAACCUCCGGCGACUGAACAGCUAAGACGUAGACAACUGAGAUUUGAACCCGGGUGUUCUGGCUGUGACGCUGGGGUGCUCAUCGCGCCUGCGCGCCCAUGUUGAUCAUAUAGUUGCUGUAAACUCACCUACUAGAUAAUACAGCCACGCCCAUAUUCAGCUAGGAAGUCGGGCUAGUGUGGGGGUCAGACCCCAAACAAGGAAGCAGGGCGGCCUCCAAAGCCAGGCGGCAGAUUGCAUGGAGGGGCCACACAGAGGAAAACGCGAGCCAGGUGUCUCGCUGCGGAGAAGGGGUUGCAAGCCCAGUAACACGAAGAACAAGGAGGCUGUGUGACUGGACUGGAAUCAGAGGUAUUGAUGUGAUUCAAGGUUUGCAGUGUACGUAGCUAUAACGAUAAAUGUAAAUGUAUUUGAAGUGCCAUAGAGAUGAGCCUGGAGCAUCUUACUGUGUCAGAAAGUAUGAAAUGCACAAGGAAUGAUGGAGACAUCUCAAAAAGACAAAGCAGCCAUCGUGAAGGGGCCACGUCUGGGGCAAUUUGAGCAUCAAAAUAAAUUAUAAAAGGAGGAGAUGGCCCAUGUAAUAAAGUGUAACCCACGAGCCCACA